CGGCCCCGCCCCCGAUGGUGAAAGAAGUCAACGUCAGCGCCCACCACAGGCUUUCCUUAAAGGGGAAACCCAUUUCUGUCGUCUAAAAAAGGAGCUUCCUACAGCGCCUUCCCUUAAGGUUUGCAGCCAGAAACAGGUAUGGUGGAAGCCAUCAAGACAUCAAAGGAGGAAAGACAAUUGUCCUCAGUGAACGUGUACAUUUGGGCAGCUCCACCACUACCAGCAAUCCCAUCUACAAAUUUGGGGGAUAAAGAAUCAUGGAAAACUUCGAGAAGGAGGAGGCUGCCCCAGGGACUGGACUCACCUCGCGAAUGGCGUUCGAGGACAGCGCUCCAGGCAGGUCCUGCUUGUUGGCAAAGAUGAGAAGGGUCGCUCCGGCCAGGCGCUGCAGGGAGGAGGAGGGUACUGGGGUCAGAGACCAACCCUGAAGAUUAGACAAGGCCUGUGGGUUCCGGGAGAGGCCCAGGUGAGGGGGGCAGAGUGGCAGGGCCACUGAGGCUGCAGCCACGUGGAGCAGAGCCCAGGGCUGCGCCUGGGUCCUGGUUCCAGCCAACCACCCCCAGUGGGCGCCUCUCCUUUAUGCCUCAGGUUCCUCUUUUAUAAGCAGGGAGGGCAUACUCAAGAUGACUCCUGAGCCCUUGUAGUCCUGCCGCUCAGGACUGUGGCCUGGCGAGCCCACGCCACACAGGCAUCCCAGCCUCCUGGGGGUCUGCUGCUGCAAGUGGCCACCUUCCCUCUUCCAAGUGUUCAUAGCCCCGUUUUUUUGGUACCAGGGAUUGAACUCAGGGGCACUCGACUACUGAGCCACACCCCCAGCCCUAUUUUUUAUUUUAUUCAGAGACAGGUUCUCACUGAGCUGCUCAGCCCCUCGCCAUUGCUGACGCUGGCUUUGAACUCGUGAUCCUCCUGCCUCAGCCUCCAGAGCCUCUGGGAUUACAGGCGUGCACCACUGCACCUGGCUGUAGCCCUUUUGAUUGUUCCAUUCCCAAAAGGCUUCGCUGUCUGCCUCUGAUUCUGUCAUUUCUAUGCAUUUACAACUGGGAGUCCUUCCAUGUGGGCGGGUGGACAUGACCUGCUUGGCCUCAACCUGCCAGGCCUGGGCUCAGCAUUUGACAGCCAGGACUUCAUUGGAUCCGCUGACACCCCCAGGAGGGGACCACAUGUCACUGUGGUUCCUGGAGUUAUUCACAACUUCACUACCGCUCUCAAGAGGCCUGGUUUCUACUAAAUGCAGCAAGGUGACCUGCAUCAAACCCCAGAACAGACAAAGCCCACGAAUGGAAACAACAGUGAAACACACACACACACACACACACACACACAGAUAGUGAAUUCCAAAUAAGACCUGUAGUUAUAUAACAGUAACUCACCAAUACUAGCUUCCUGGUUUAAGAGGUAUACCAGGGCUGACAUUAGGGAAGUGGGGUGAGGGAGGGGGGAGUAUCUUUGUACUAUCUUUGCAACUCUUCUGUAAAUCUAAAAUCUUACUUAAAAAAAGGUGUUGGGGCCACACAAUAAAUUAUGAGAUCAGCCUAACUGUGAUCCCCAUUUUAGGAAUGUGGAAGUGGAAGCUCAGAGAGGUUGAGUGCCUUCCUGAGGUCACACGCAGUGGCAGACUCCUGAGCCAGGCUUCCUUGCCUCCCAGAGCUUCGCACGCUGACCUUGAGGAUGCUCCCUAAAGCCCUCUGGUAUGAGUUUUGUCGUUCCCAUUUCAAGUACGGAACCUGAGGCUCAGGGUGGUGACACAGUAAAACCAAAUUCAUGUAAACCCA